CCUCCAGGGAUGGGGCAUCUGCCACUUCCAGAAUGCACCACCCACACCCUCACUGUGCUCACAACCACCGUUUGGUCUCCAAAAACUUUCAGCAAGCAUUGAUGAAUGUCCAUGGGUGCAUUUCUUUCUGCAUGGAGGAAUUCAGUGACACACCUUUGUUUCAUGAGCACUUCCAUGUUGGUGGUUAAUUUGUCAGAUAACCCCUCUGUUGCCAUCUGUUGCAUGGCAACAAAAUGUAAUGGAAUAUUGGUGUGAAGGUUCUUUACUGCCUUUACUGCCAAACCACCACCACCUGCUUUGGAUGUAAUGGGCCAACAUAAUUAAACAGGAAGUAUAGCUUCUGGAACAGCCUUUGUAUAAUAUUUACCAACACGAUUAUAGCAAUCAAGCAUGAUACAUAAACUGAAUGUGUGUUAUAGUAAGUGGGAAAAAGAAUGGGAGAAAAUAUUCCUACAUGCACCUUCACUCAUUAGAAAUAAUGGAAAAAACUUCAAGAGAGCAUACUUCUAAAGAAGAGCGUAGGGAUAGCUUAAAGAUGUGAUGAUAACAGGGAAAAUCAGGCAGGCACCAUACAAAACCAAGGAGAAAAAUGUCAGUGUGAUGCAGGGCAAUAGUUAACUGUUUUCCAUCCCUGUGAUUAAGAAUUGUCUUAGCAAUUGAAGAGCCAGUCAGGGGUAUUUUAAAAAUGGGGAAGGUAAACACAUGGGAAAAAGAAAUAUUUACAAGAUAGGUAAGUAGCUACAUAAGAUGGAUAUGGAGAUACCAAAAAAUAACAUCCAUUAGGGAAAGAGAUUACAUGCAAGGGACUGGAAAGAGGGUUAGAAGAUUUAAAUGAUCUAAAGCAGAAGAGAUUUGUGUCUGAAUCUUUGGUCGUAUUCAAUUCUAAGACCUCUAAAAGAUGGCACACUAAGUAAAAAUAGAUGGUUUAUGAGAUUAUGUGUGGUUUGCCCUAGGUUCUAGGAUGUAAACUUGCAGUAAAAGCAUCCUGAUGAUGUUGACAUGGAGUCCACUAAUCUCUGUAUCAACAUAAGUGAUAACUGAAUUCUGGUGAAACAGGUUGAAGAUGAUUUUCACCAAGCUAACUAGGAAAAAUGUUUAAACAAACUGAGACAAACUCAAGUGAAUUAUUCUCAUCUUGGUGAAAAUAAUGAAUACUACAUGGUUCUCAAUGUAGAUGUUAUUAGAAGGAUUUUCAGAUGUUUGAGGAAAUAUUCCUUGAAAGGGGACUCAGACCAGUCAGUUUUCUCUGCUGAAGUUGUGAUCCCAUGGAAUCAGGCUGAUAUGAUUAUGUACUGUGUCGAACCAGGUAGUAACAAUGACAGUUUGGUAAAGUCUGUAACAGUUAAUGCUUCUAGAUAGGAAGGUAAAAGAAAAUCAACUAAUUACAACAUGACAAUGGGAACUGAAUAAGCCAUAAAGUCCCUGUGUCAGUGUAUUAAAACUGGAGCUACUCAAUUACAAUGCCGGUAGAAACCAGCUAGGAAAGGAGUGUGGCUGAGAAACAAGAACUGAAAAAUGUGCCAUGCAGAAAAGCUGGUAGAUAAAUCUGAAACAUGCUGCAUCAUUAGUGACGAGAUGAACUAAAAAGUGUUAAAGAAGGGUUGGUUUUCAAGAGGUACUAAUGUGUUAGCAUUGGGAAAUUCAUUGAAUUGUCAGGCUGGGAUUCAGACAUGGCUUAUCUUUAUCUUUGUAUUAUUGUGAUGUACUAUCUUGUAUUAAAUUGUCAAUCUGAGGAGUUCAUCUAGUUGCCUUAAAAUAAAAAGACCACCAAGUGAAGUGGGAGGACAGAAAAAUAGGUUUUAUUUAGCUGAAGCUAUUCUUGGUCUGUAUCGAGUAUCUCAGGCUCUGACUCUUUUCUUUCCUCUUUUUUCUUUUUUUUUUUUUCUUUAACUUAUAUUUUAGUUACUUGACAGAAAACCAAAUAAAGUGUUGAAAA
rnacentral:lncRNA from 1 species